rnacentral:rRNA from 1 species
UCAAGCUGGAAAGAGCGCAAGGGGAAUGCCUUGGCAUCAGGAGCCGAAGAAGGACGUGACAAGCUGCGAAAAGCCUCGGGGAGGAGCAAAUAUCCAUUGAUCCGGGGAUAUCCGAAUGGGGCAACCCGGCUGGACAAUAUCCAGUCAUCCUGCGUUGAACAAAAUAGGCGUAGGAAGGGAACCGCCUGAACUGAAACAUCUAAGUAGGGCGAGGAAGAGACAUCAACCGAGAUUCCGCAAGUAGUGGCGAGCGAAUGCGGAAGAGGCCAAACCGAGGGAUUUAUUCCUCGGGGUUGCGGACAGUCAUUUAGCGGAAGUUAUCUAGGAGAAGGGUCUGGGAAGGCCCGCCACAGAGGGUGAGAGCCCCGUAUCCGAAAGAGAAGGCCGUGCGACUGAAUCCAGAGUACCGCGGGACACGUGAAACCCCGUGGGAAACAGGGGGGACCACCCUCCAAGCCUAAAUACUACCUGAUGACCGAUAGAGGAGCAGUACCGUGAGGGAAAGGUGAAAAGGACCCCGGGAGGGGAGUGAAAGAGAACCUGAAACCUUGUGCUUACAAGCUGUCAAAGCACGUUAACGUGUGAUGGCGUACUUUUUGUAGAACGGUCCGGCGAGUUAUAGUAACGAGCGAGCUUAAGGCAUUCAGUGCCGGAGGCGAAGCGAGAGCGAGUCUGAAUAGGGCGUAAAGUUCGUUGCCAUAGACCCGAAACCGGGUGACCUACCCAUGAGCAGGUUGAAGUGGGGGUGAAACCCCAUGGAGGACCGAACCGACCCCCGUUGCAAUGGUGGCGGAUGACUUGUGGGUAGCGGUGAAAUUCCAAUCGAACUCGGAGAUAGCUGGUUCUCCCCGAAAUAGCUUUAGGGCUAGCGUUAUGUUAGAUUACCGGAGGUAAAGCACUGAAUGGUAGCGGGGCCGAUAAGGUUACCAACGCCUAUCAAACUAAGAAUGCCGGCUAAUUGAUGCAUAGCAGUCAGACAGUGUGAGAUAAGUUUCAUUGUCAAAAGGGAAACAGCCCAGACCUACAGCUAAGGUCCCGAAUAGAUGCUAAGUGGAAAACGAUGUGGAGUUGCGAAAACAACCAGGAUGUUGGCUUAGAAGCAGCCACUCAUUAAAAGAGUGCGUAAUAGCUCACUGGUCGAGUGACUCUGCGCGGAAAAUGUAACGGGGCUAAGCAUCUAACCGAAGCUUAGGAUUGUCGUAAGACAGUGGUAGGGGAGCGUUCCAUGUGGGGUGAAGUCGUAGCGAAAGCAGCGGUGGACUGCAUGGAAGUGAGAAUGCCGGAAUGAGUAGCGAGAAUUAUGUGGGAAUCAUAAUGGCCGAAAAUCUAAGGUUUCUUGGGGAAGGUUCGUCCGCCCAAGGUAAGCCGGGAGCUAAGGCGAGGCCGAAAGGCGUAGUCGAUGCACAUACGGUAGAAAUUCCGUAGCCACCGAACUUUAAGUCAGAGGGACACUUUUGGAUAGCGGAACCCGGGCGUUGGUUGACCCGGGCGAAAGGGAGCGAAAAUAUAGUAGCGAAGUCCGCGAUGCUGAGAGGCGAGAAAAGCUCUGAUGGAUACUAAGGUGCCCGUACCGCAAACCGACACAGGUAGAUGAGGAGAGAAUCCUAAGGCCAACGGGAGAAGGGUUGUUAAGGAACUCGGCAAAAUGACCCCGUAACUUCGGGAUAAGGGGAGCCUCCUACGGGAGGCCGCAGCGAAUAGGCCCAAGCGACUGUUUACCAAAAACACAGGUCUCUGCUAAAUCGAAAGAUGACGUAUAGGGGCUGACGCCUGCCCGGUGCUGGAAGGUUAAGAGGAGAUGUUAGCCGCAAGGCGAAGCAUUGAAUCGAAGCCCCAGUAAACGGCGGCCGUAACUAUAACGGUCCUAAGGUAGCGAAAUUCCUUGUCAGGUAAGUUCUGACCCGCACGAAUGGCGUAAUGACUUGGGCACUGUCUCAACUGCAAAUCCGGCGAAGUUGUAGUGCGAGUGAAGAUGCUCGCUACCCGCGAUUGGACGGAAAGACCCCGUAGAGCUUUACUGUAGCUUAGCAUUGAAUUUCGGUAUUGUCUGUACAGGAUAGGUGGGAGACUGGGAAAUUAGGGCGUCAGCCUUAAUGGAGUCGUUGUUGGGAUACCACCCUGAUAGUAUUGAAGUUCUAACUGGAUGCCAUGAAACUGGUGACAGGACAUUGUUAGGUGGGCAGUUUGACUGGGGCGGUCGCCUCCUAAAAUGUAACGGAGGCGCCCAAAGGUUCCCUCAGAACGGUCGGAAAUCGUUCGUAGAGUGUAAAGGCAUAAGGGAGCCUGACUGCGAGACCUACAAGUCGAGCAGGGACGAAAGUCGGGCUUAGUGAUCCGGUGGUACCUCGUGGGAGGGCCAUCGCUCAACGGAUAAAAGCUACCUCGGGGAUAACAGGCUGAUCUCCCCCAAGAGUUCACAUCGACGGGGAGGUUUGGCACCUCGAUGUCGGCUCGUCGCAUCCUGGGGCUGAAGUAGGUCCCAAGGGUUGGGCUGUUCGCCCAUUAAAGCGGCACGCGAGCUGGGUUCAGAACGUCGUGAGACAGUUCGGUCCCUAUCCGUUGUGGGCGCAGGAAAUUUGAGAGGAGCUGUCCUUAGUACGAGAGGACCGGGAUGGACAUACCUCUGGUGUACCGGUUGCAGACCAACUGCACAGCCGGGUAGCUAUGUAUGGAACGGAUAAACGCUGAAGGCAUCUAAGCGUGAAGCCGCCCUUAAGAUAAGAUUUCCCAUUGCGCAAGCAAGUAAGACCCCUUGAAGACUACAAGGUAGAUAGGUUGGAGGUGUAAGCACGGUAACGUGUUCAGCUGACCAAUACUAAUAGGUCGAGGACUUGACCU